rnacentral:misc_RNA from 1 species
GGGUUUCCGUAUGCUCCACUAGGUCCACCAUACCCUGCAGCUGCAGCUCCAUAACUGCCAGCUCCAUAGCUUGCAGCACCAUAGCCAUUGUUGGCAGCUCCAUAUCCAUAUCCAGAAGCGCCAUAUCCAGAUGAGCCAUAUGCUGGAUAACCACCACCGGCAGCCGCCUGGGGUUGUGCAUAUCUGCUACCUUCAUAGGAG